rnacentral:rRNA from 1 species
UACGAAGGUCCCAAGCGUUGUUCGGAAUCACUGGGCGUAAAGGGAGCGUAGGCGGCGUGGUAAGUCAGAUGUGAAAUCCCGGGGCUCAACCCCGGAACUGCAUCCGAUACUGCCAUGCUAGAGGAUUGGAGAGGUAGCUGGAAUUCUUGGUGUAGCAGUGAAAUGCGUAGAGAUCAAGAGGAACACUCGUGGCGAAAGCGAGCUACUGGACGAAUACUGACGCUGAGACUCGAAAGCGUGGGGAGCAAACAGG